rnacentral:lncRNA from 10 species
UGGACUUGGAUUAAUUCAAGCCGGGCCACUGAACCCUUCUUGAGACUUUCGUUGAAUACAUGGAGAAAGUUACAUUGUCUUUCAGAGAUAACUAUUGUCAACAGUUCCAGUUUGAUGUCUAGUGAGAUAGAUAGAUAGAGAUGUGCCAAGAGAGUAAAUCACGGCAUUUCUGUAUGUCUGACUAUGGAAUAUUCUUCAGAAAUCACUGAGACCAUUUAUUUUACAUUGGAAUUUCAUCUUGAUCUAAGAUCCAUCAACUUUAGUAGGAUUGCUUGGAAAUGGAUGAUAACUGAAAUUUGCUGUCAACUUAGAAACUCCAUCUGUGAUCACUAUUAUCACCUCCUCACCGCCAAACCUCAAACCAAAGCUGUGCCUUCUGAAUCCAUUUGUGUCUAAUCAUGAUGAAAACAUCAGAUAAGUCGCAAUAGGGCAGCAUCCUACAAUAUAUGUGAGGAGUACUCCUAAAACAUUUCAAGGUCAUCAAAAACAAGGAAAAACUGAGAAACUGUCACAGCCAAGAGGUGCCCAUGGAAUUAUGACAACUAAAUGCAAUGUGGUAUCCUGUAUGGAAUCCUGGAACAGAAAAAGGACACUUGGUGAAAUUAAGAAGAUCUGAGUAACUAUGGACUUUGGUUAAUCCUAUAUCAAUAUGGCUUCAUUAAUUAUAACAAAUGUGCCAUACUAAUCUAAAAUGUAAUAAUGUUUGUGUGUGGAAGGAGAAGGGUUAUGGAAACUGUCUGUACUAUCUUCUCCAUUUUGUAAAUCUAAAACUGGUCUAAAAAUAAAGUUUAUUAAAAUAUUG